GAUGAACGCUGGCGGCGUGCCUAAUACAUGCAAGUCGAGCGAACGGACGAGAAGCUUGCUUCUCUGAUGUUAGCGGCGGACGGGUGAGUAACACGUGGAUAACCUACCUAUAAGACUGGGAUAACUUCGGGAAACCGUAGCUAAUACCGGAUAAUAUUUUGAACCGCAUGGUUCAAAAGUGAAAGACGGUCUUGCUGUCACUUAUAGAUGGAUCCGCGCUGCAUUAGCUAGUUGGUAAGGUAACGGCUUACCAAGGCAACGAUGCAUAGCCGACCUGAGAGGGUGAUCGGCCACACUGGAACUGAGACACGGUCCAGACUCCUACGGGAGGCAGCAGUAGGGAAUCUUCCGCAAUGGGCGAAAGCCUGACGGAGCAACGCCGCGUGAGUGAUGAAGGUCUUCGGAUCGUAAAACUCUGUUAUUAGGGAAGAACAUAUGUGUAAGUAACUGCGCACAUCUUGACGGUACCUAAUCAGAAAGCCACGGCUAACUACGUGCCAGCAGCCGCGGUAAUACGUAGGUGGCAAGCGUUAUCCGGAAUUAUUGGGCGUAAAGCGCGCGUAGGCGGUUUUUUAAGUCUGAUGUGAAAGCCCACGGCUCAACCGUGGAGGGUCAUUGGAAACUGGAAAACUUGAGUGCAGAAGAGGAAAGUGGAAUUCCAUGUGUAGCGGUGAAAUGCGCAGAGAUAUGGAGGAACACCAGUGGCGAAGGCGACUUUCUGGUCUGUAACUGACGCUGAUGUGCGAAAGCGUGGGGAUCAAACAGGAUUAGAUACCCUGGUAGUCCACGCCGUAAACGAUGAGUGCUAAGUGUUAGGGGGUUUCCGCCCCUUAGUGCUGCAGCUAACGCAUUAAGCACUCCGCCUGGGGAGUACGACCGCAAGGUUGAAACUCAAAGGAAUUGACGGGGACCCGCACAAGCGGUGGAGCAUGUGGUUUAAUUCGAAGCGACGCGAAGAACCUUACCAAAUCUUGACAUCCUUUGACAACUCUAGAGAUAGAGCCUUCCCCUUCGGGGGACAAAGUGACAGGUGGUGCAUGGUUGUCGUCAGCUCGUGUCGUGAGAUGUUGGGUUAAGUCCCGCAACGAGCGCAACCCUUAAGCUUAGUUGCCAUCAUUAAGUUGGGCACUCUAAGUUGACUGCCGGUGACAAACCGGAGGAAGGUGGGGAUGACGUCAAAUCAUCAUGCCCCUUAUGAUUUGGGCUACACACGUGCUACAAUGGACAAUACAAAGGGCAGCGAAACCGCGAGGUCAAGCAAAUCCCAUAAAGUUGUUCUCAGUUCGGAUUGUAGUCUGCAACUCGACUACAUGAAGCUGGAAUCGCUAGUAAUCGUAGAUCAGCAUGCUACGGUGAAUACGUUCCCGGGUCU
rnacentral:rRNA from 1 species